rnacentral:lncRNA from 1 species
CGGCUGGGGGCUUUAUUAGGGGGCACCGGGGUCUGCUUUCCGACUCCCUUCCGACUCCGCGCCUGCGCAGGAAGCGAUUUGGGGAGUGUUGUGAAUUCCGAGGGCUCCACACUUAAGAGGUUGUACACUCACCUGUCUACCUGGACUCCAAUUUCCAUAUUUCCAGCCACUUGAGGACUGAGAGGUGGAUGAUAAACCCUGUCAUAGUGGAGCAAGUUCAGGUGUUUAACCGCUGUUAUGGGGGAUCUGCCUUUUCUCCCUCUUCUUUCUUACUUCCAUAAGUAUGUAUGUGCAGAGAUUGAAAAAUAACCUUGAGAGAGUCCAUCCAUCUAACUCCAGAAAGCUCCUAGAGAAUGUGUUCAGCAAAACAUGGGAGUAGCCCAAGAAAAAGAAAGACAUGAGAUCCAGAAAACCGGACCAGGAAAUUAAGAAGGGAAACUCCAGGAUGAGAGAAAUAUGGCAGAAUUGGAGAGCAACCCAUUUUCACUGAACAGGGAGAUGGCAGACUUCAAGAGAAAACAGUAGUUACAGUAAUUGAAAUGAUAGAUUAUCUAAUUUUGAGUAUUUGAGAAAUUAUAUUGAUAGAUGUUUGAUAGAUCUAAUGAACUAUGGGAUAAAAUUGGAGAAUGAAUUGUAAAAAAAAAUACAAGUAAAAAAAGGAGACAAUUGUUAAUUCCAUGAAAAUUACAUCAGAAGGGAGACAACAUUUCUCUAAACUGUUUUGUGGUGGUGAAAAAUGUAGAACUUUUCAGAACUUUUGAAAUGCUAAUAUGCAUCUCUAAGAAGGAGAGAGCAUGAAGCAUAGAACUUCAUGGAAUUUAUUUGUAUUGUUAAUUACAUUACUUUUAAAUUUACUUUUUAAAACCAUAUCACAUGGUUUAAAAUUUAAAACAAUAAGGACUCAUAAUGCAAUAGAAAAAUUGAGAAGAGGACUUAGAUACCUUGAAAAAGAGGUGAAAAGGUUCUCAACAUCAUUAAUUAUCAGGGAAUCACAAAUUUUAUUCACAUUGCAACACUACUAUCCAAACAGUAGAAUGAAUAAAAUUAAAAAGACAGAAUAUACCAAGUGUGAGUGAGGAUUUGGAGCAACAGGAGCUCUUGUACACUGCUCAUGGGAGUGUUGAUUGGUUCAAUCAAUUUUGUAAAUUGUAUGUCAGUAUCUAUUAAAAUUGUAGAUAUGCA